rnacentral:rRNA from 1 species
ACGGGAGGCAGCAGUGGGGAAUAUUGCGCAAUGGGGGAAACCCUGACGCAGCGACGCCGCGUGAGUGAAGAAGUAUUUCGGUAUGUAAAGCUCUAUCAGCAGGGAAGACAAUGACGGUACCUGACUAAGAAGCCCCGGCUAACUACGUGCCAGCAGCCGCGGUAAUACGUAGGGGGCAAGCGUUAUCCGGAUUUACUGGGUGUAAAGGGAGCGUAGACGGUGAAGCAAGUCUGAAGUGAAAGGCAGGGGCUCAACCCCUGGACUGCUUUGGAAACUGUUUUACUAGAGUACAGGAGAGGUAAGCGGAAUUCCUAGUGUAGCGGUGAAAUGCGUAGAUAUUAGGAGGAACACCAGUGGCGAAGGCGGCUUACUGGACUGCAACUGACGUUGAGGCUCGAAAGCGUGGGGAGCAAACAGGAUUAGAUACCCUGGUA